UUGCAUAAAAAUUUAUGUCAUAAUGACAUAAAUUUCGAUCGUGACAUAAAAUCAUGCAUAGCUUAUGUCGUUGACAUAAAUUUCGUUGCAUAAAAAUAUUUAUGUAUUGUUUUAGCUUAUGACGCGAUUUAAUCAUCAUUACAUAAACUGAAUAGUCAUGAACGAGCCUGUUGACAUAAACUUGGCAUAAGUUGUCAUUUUUCAGCCGCAGGAAGCUCUUGCGAAAAAGGGUCUUCGGCUUUCUAUUUGGACGGGAUAGAGGCCUAUUUUGGUGACCCACACAAACGGUGAGAAGAGGUAAAGAGAGAAAGGGGCACAGCAACUGGAAGGAGAGGGAAGUCCAGACACUCUGCCACUGUCUGCGAUUGAAUAAGAAAUUUCUCUUUGGAUCAGGGGGUCAAGCUUCUAGUAUGAAGGUGACCCACACAAACGGUGAGAAGAGGUAUAGAGAGAAAGGGGCACAGCAACUGAAAGGAGAGGGAAGUCCAGACACUCUACCACGGUCUGCCAUUGAAUAAGAAGUCUCUCUUUGGAUCAGGGGGUCAAGCUCCUAGUAUGAAGAUUGUUCAAGAGUCAAGACUGUUGAAGAGGUGACGUCAUGGACCUGGUAGCACCUGGCAAGGGAACUAUAUUACUGUUCAUAAAUCUA